UAACAAAGUGGAUGGCAGUGAGUGGCUC
rnacentral:piRNA from 1 species